UGGGGAAUAUUGGACAAUGGGCGAAAGCCUGAUCCAGCCAUGCCGCGUGUGUGAAGAAGGUCUUCGGAUUGUAAAGCACUUUAAGUUGGGAGGAAGGGCAGUUACCUAAUACGUGAUUGUUUUGACGUUACCGACAGAAUAAGCACCGGCUAACUCUGUGCCAGCAGCCGCGGUAAUACAGAGGGUGCAAGCGUUAAUCGGAAUUACUGGGCGUAAAGCGCGCGUAGGUGGUUAGUUAAGUUGGAUGUGAAAUCCCCGGGCUCAACCUGGGAACUGCAUUCAAAACUGACAAGCUAGAGUAUGGUAGAGGGUGGUGGAAUUUCCUGUGUAGCGGUGAAAUGCGUAGAUAUAGGAAGGAACACCAGUGGCGAAGGCGACCACCUGGACUGAUACUGACACUGAGGUGCGAAAGCGUGGGGAGCAAACAGGAUUAGAUACCCUUGUAGUCCCUGAGCGGGCUGGCAAGGCGCAU
rnacentral:rRNA from 1 species